GACGAACGCUGGCGGCGUGCCUAAUACAUGCAAGUAGAACGCAGUUGCGAACGGGUGAGUAACGAGUAGGUAACUGCCUGGUAGCGGGGGAUAACUAUUGGAAACGAUAGCUAAUACCGCAUACUACCAGAUGGACCUGCGUUGUAUUAGCUAGUUGGCGGGGUAACGGCUCACCAAGGAAACGAUACAUAGCCGACCUGAGAGGGGGAACGGCCACACUGGGACUGGAGCACGGGCCAGAAUCCUUCGGGGGGCAGCAGUAGGGAAUCUUCGGCAAUGGAGGGAAGUCUGACCAAGCAACGCCGCGUGAGUGAAGGAGGUUUUCGGGUCGUAAAGCUCUGUUGUAAGAGAAGCGGUAUCUUACCAGAAAGGGACGGCUAACUACGUGCCAGCAGCCGCGGUAAUUC
rnacentral:rRNA from 1 species